CUUGGAUACCUGUAGUAAAUCUAGAGCUAAUACAUGCCUCUAAACCCGACUUUUUGAAGGGUGGUGUUUAUUAGAAUUUUCAAACCAAUGAUGAAGUUUACUUCAUGUUUGAUGACUCAUGAUAAAUUUACGAAUCGCAAGACUUUAUGUUGGCGAUGUAUCAAUUAAAUUUCUGCACUAUUAACUUUUGAUGUAAGUGUAUUGUACUUACAUGGUUUUGAUGGUUAACGGAGGAUUAGGGUUUGAUUCCGGAGAGGGAGCCUGAGAAAUGGCUACCACAUCCAAGGAAGGCAGCAGGCGCGCAAAUUACCCAAUCUCAAUACGAGGAGGUAGUGACAAUAAAUAACAAUGCAGGGCUUUUUAAGUCUUGCAAUUGGAAUGAGUACAAUUUAAAACCCUUAACGAGAAACAAUUGGAGGGCAGGUCUGGUGCCAGCAGCCGCGGUAAUUCCAGCUCCAAUAGCGUAUAUUUAUGUUGUUGCAGUUGAAAAGCUCGUAGUUGGAUUUGAGGUUUAGGGAUAUGGUCUCAUCUUCGGAUGUUGUACUGUAUUUCUUUAUCUUUUACAUGAGAAGGUAUUCUGUUCUUUAUUGGAUGGUUUAUUGACUCAUGUCUUUUACUUUGAAAAAAUUAGAGUGUUCAAAGCAGGCUUAUGCCUUGAAUACAUUAGCAUGGAAUAAUAAGAUAGGACUUUUGUCUAUUUUGUUGGUUUUUAUGGACUGAAGUAAUGAUUAAUAGGGGCAGUUGGGGACAUUAAUAUUUAAUUGUCAGAGGUGAAAUUCUUGGAUUUAUUAAAGAUUAACUACUGCGAAAGCAUUUGUCAAGGAUGUUUUCAUUAAUCAAGAACGAAAGUUGGGGGAUCGAAGACGAUCAGAUACCGUCGUAGUCUCAACCAUAAACUAUGCCGACGAGAAAUUAGUGAAUGUUUAUUCAUUGACUUCAUUAGCUUCUUCCGAGAAAUCAAAGUUUUUGGGUUCUGGGGGGAGUAUGGUCGCAAGGCUGAAACUUAAAGGAAUUGACGGAAGGGCACCACCAGGGGUGGAGCCUGCGGCUUAAUUUGACACAACACGGGAAAACUUACCAGGUCCAGACAUAAGAAGGAUUGACAGAUUGAGAGCUCUUUCUUGAUUUUAUGGGUGGUGGUGCAUGGCCGUUCUUAGUUGGUGGAGUGAUUUGUCUGCUUAAUUGCGAUAACGAACGAGACCUUAACCUACUAAAUAGCUACGUGAAACCUAGUUC
rnacentral:rRNA from 1 species